AUUGAACGCUGGCGGCAUGCCUAACACAUGCAAGUCGAACGAGUGGCGGGUGGGUGAGUAAUGUCUGGGAACCUGCUCGCUGGAGGGGGAUACCCAAUGGAAACGGUAGCUACUACCGCAUCUCAUACGAUGUGCCCCGAUGUGAUUAGCUUGUGGUUGAGCUAACGGCGCACCUAGGCGACGAUCCCUAGCUGGUGUGAGAGGAUGACCAGCCACACGGGCAAUGAGACACGGUCCAGACUCCUACGGGAGGAAGCAGUGGGGAAUUGUGGACAAUGGGGGAAAUGCUGAUGCAGCCAUGCCGCGUGUGGGAAGAAGGCCUUCGGGUUGUAAAGUACUUGCGGCAGGGAGGCGGUACCCGAAGAAUAAGCACCGGCUAACUCCGUGCCAGCAGCCGCGGUAAUUC
rnacentral:rRNA from 1 species